UCUAUUGUGGCAGAUACAAUGCAGUGAGCUUAAAAUUCAUAUAUAAAUAAUAUAAUUUCUAUAGAA
rnacentral:tRNA from 1 species